GAUGAACGCUGGCGGCGUGCCUAAUACAUGCAAGUCGAGCGAACGGACGAGAAGCUUGCUUCUCUGAUGUUAGCGGCGGACGGGUGAGUAACACGUGGAUAACCUACCUAUAAGACUGGGAUAACUUCGGGAAACCGGAGCUAAUACCGGAUAAUAUUUUGAACCGCAUGGUUCAAAAGUGAAAGACGGUCUUGCUGUCACUUAUAGAUGGAUCCGCGCUGCAUUAGCUAGUUGUUAAGGUAACGGCUUACCAAGGCAACGAUGCAUAGCCGACCUGAGAGGGGGAUCGGCCACACUGGAACGUAGACACGGUCCAGACUCCUACGGGAGGCAGCAGUAGGGAAUCUUCCGCAAUGGGCGAAAGCCUGACGGAGCAACGCCGCGUGAGUGAUGAAGGUCUUCGGAUCGUGAAACUCUGUUAUUAGGGAAGAACAUAUGUGUAAGUAACUGUGCACAUCUUGACGGUACCUAAUCAGAAAGCCACGGCUAACUACGUG
rnacentral:rRNA from 1 species